UACGUAGGCAGCAAGCGUUGUUCGGAAUUACUGGGCGUAAAGAGUGUGUAGGCGGUGCUCCAAGUCUGUUGUGAAAUCUCCCGGCUUAACUGGGAGGGUGCGGCGGAAACUGGAGUGCUUGAGUGUGGGAGAGGUAAGCGGAAUUCCAGGUGUAGCGGUGAAAUGCGUAGAUAUCAGGAGGAACACCUGUGGUGUAGACAGCUUACUGGACCGCGACUGACGCUGAGACGCGAAAGCGUGGGUAGCAAACGGG
rnacentral:rRNA from 1 species